CUCUGGCAGGGAGGAGGGAAGUCGAAGAUAUCCUCCCCUCUCACCCCCCCAAUUGGGACCCCAAUACAUCAGGGGGAAGGGAUGCGCUCCUCCAGUAUCGCCGGGCUCUGUUAAGGGGGCUGAAGGCAGCUGCCAGGAAACCCACUAACUUUAGCAAGGUUAGUGAAGCAGUACAAGGGAGAGACAGAG